GACGAACGCUGGCGGCGUGCUUAACACAUGCAAGUCGAACGGAAAGGCCCUGCUUUUGUGGGGUGCUCGAGUGGCGAACGGGUGAGUAACACGUGAGUAACCUGCCCUUGACUUUGGGAUAACUUCAGGAAACUGGGGCUAAUACCGGAUAGGAGCUCCUGCUGCAUGGUGGGGGUUGGAAAGUUUCGGCGGUUGGGGAUGGACUCGCGGCUUAUCAGCUUGUUGGUGGGGUAGUGGCUUACCAAGGCUUUGACGGGUAGCCGGCCUGAGAGGGUGACCGGCCACAUUGGGACUGGGAUACGGACCAGACUCCUACGGGAGGCAGCAGUGGGGGAUAUUGCACAAUGGGCGGAAGCCUGAUGCAGAAACGCCGCGUGCGGGAUGACGGCCUUCGGGUUGUAAACCGAUUUCGCCUGUGACGAAGCGUGAGUGACGGUAAUGGGUAAAGAAGCACCGGCUAACUACGUG
rnacentral:rRNA from 1 species